UACAGAGGUCUCAAGCGUUGUUCGGAUUUACUGGGCGUAAAGAGCGCGCAGGCGGUCGUCCAAGUCGCGUGUGAAAGCCCCCGGCUCAACUGGGGAGGGUCACGCGAUACUGUUCGACUCGAAGGCAGGAGAGGGUAGUGGAAUUCCCGGUGUAGUGGUGAAAUGCGUAGGUAUCGGGAGGAACACCAGUGGCGAAGGCGACUACCUGGCCUGUUCUUGACGCUGAGGCGCGAAAGCUAGGGGAGCAAACGGG
rnacentral:rRNA from 1 species